CUUCCUCUGCACUUUUCCAACAACACGAUGACUCUUCUGCGCUCAUUUCUCCCUAAUUCCUCUGCCCUCGAUUUCACAGCCUUUUCUCCAUCCCUCAAUAAAGCUUAUACAAAAUAUUUAGUGGAGGUAUUGUUUGUGGUUGUUGGUUUUGGCUGAGUUUGGUGGCACUUUUGGCUGAUUUUCUGUUUGAAGUAGUAUGUGUGUUGUUCUUGGAUUUGUGUUACCUGCUUUGUUUCAUUGUAUGGUUUUCAAGGAGGAGUUGGGUUGGAGAUGCAUCGUUUCUGAUGGGACAGUUAUGGAUUUUGGAUUUUUUGUUGUUGUUACCGGAACUUUUACUUCUUUCAAUCACAGAGAUUCUUUCCCCUAAGGCCUAAUUGAUUUUUGGCUGAAAAUGUUUGUGAAAGAUGAAAACUUCUUUGGUCUUGAUUGCUAAUUGGGCAACUUGGGUCAUCCAUUGGAUUUAUGUAUAUAUUAUCAUCUUUGGUUUUGAUUGCUAAUUGGGCAACUUUGGUCAUUAUAUAUAUAUUAUCAUCUUGUUAGUUUAGUAUCUCUUUUUUUACUAUAAAGGGAUAAGAAUGAACAUUGAUACAUAAUGAAUAGGUUGUUCA